AUCCGGGUUGCGGACAGUGUCUGGUGGGUAGUUUGACUGGGGCGGUCUCCUCCUAAAGAGUAACGGAGGAGCACGAAGGUUGGCUAAUCCUGGUCGGACAUCAGGAGGUUAGUGCAAUGGCAUAAGCCAGCUUGACUGCGAGCGUGACGGCGCGAGCAGGUGCGAAAGCAGGUCAUAGUGAUCCGGUGGUUCUGAAUGGAAGGGCCAUCGCUCAACGGAUAAAAGGUACUCCGGGGAUAACAGGCUGAUACCGCCCAAGAGUUCAUAUCGACGGCGGUGUUUGGCACCUCGAUGUCGGCUCAUCACAUCCUGGGGCUGAAGUAGGUUCCAAGGGUAUGGCUGUUCGCCAUUUAAAGUGGUACGCGAGCUGGGUUUAGAACGUCGUGAGACAGUUCGGUCCCUAUCUGCCGUGGGCGCUGGAGAACUGAGGGGGGCUGCUCCUAGUACGAGAGGACCGGAGUGGACGCAUCACUGGUGUUCGGGUUGUCAUGCCAAUGGCACUGCCCGGUAGCUAAAUGCGGAAGAGAUAAGUGCUGAAAGCAUCUAAGCACGAAACUUGCCCCGAGAUGAGUUCUCCCUGAGACUUAAAGUCUCCUGAAGGAACGUUGAAGACGACGACGUUGAUAGGCCGGGUGUGUAAGCGCAGCGAUGCGUUGAGCUAACCGGUACUAAUGAACCGUGAGGCUUAACCUUACAACGCCGAAG
rnacentral:rRNA from 2 species